rnacentral:rRNA from 1 species
GGAACCCACUAGUUAAUGACUAGUAUCCAUAUCUGUUAAGGAUAUGAGAAGGAAGACGCAGUGAACUGAAACAUCUAAGUAGCUGCAGGAAGAGAAAGCAAAAGCGAUUGCCUUAGUAGCGGCGAGCGAAACGGCAGGAGGGCAAACCGAAGUGUUUACACUUCGGGGUUGUAGGACUGCGAUAUAGGAUUAAUCAUUAUAGAAGAAUUACCUGGGAAGGUAAGCCAAAGAGAGUAACAGCCUCGUAUUUAAAAUGAUAGAUUAACCUUAGCAGUAUCCUGAGUACGGCGAGACACGCGAAAUCUCGUCGGAAUCUGGGAGGACCAUCUCCCAACCCUAAAUACUCUCUAGUGACCGAUAGUGAACCAGUACCGUGAGGGAAAGGUGAAAAGCACCCCGGGAGGGGAGUGAAAUAGAACCUGAAACCGUGUGCCUACAACAAGUUCGAGCCCGUUAAUGGGUGAGAGCGUGCCUUUUGUAGAAUGAACCGGCGAGUUACGAUAUGAUGCGAGGUUAAGUUGAAGAGACGGAGCCGUAGGGAAACCGAGUCUUAAUAGGGCGUCAUAGUAUCAUGUUGUAGACCCGAAACCAUGUGACCUACCCAUGAGCAGGUUGAAGGUGAGGUAAAACUCACUGGAGGACCGAACCAGGGCACGUUGAAAAGUGCUUGGAUGACUUGUGGGUAGCGGAGAAAUUCCAAACGAACUUGGAGAUAGCUGGUUCUCUCCGAAAUAGCUUUAGGGCUAGCGUCGAUGUUAAGUCUCUUGGAGGUAGAGCACUGUUUGGGUGAGGGGUCCAUCCCGGAUUACCAAUCUCAGAUAAACUCCGAAUGCCAACGAGAUAUAAUCGGCAGUCAGACUGCGAGUGCUAAGAUCCGUAGUCGAAAGGGAAACAGCCCAGACCACCAGCUAAGGUCCCAAAAUAUAUGUUAAGUGGAAAAGGAUGUGGGGUUGCACAGACAACUAGGAUGUUAGCUUAGAAGCAGCUAUUCAUUCAAAGAGUGCGUAAUAGCUCACUAGUCGAGUGACCCUGCGCCGAAAAUGUACCGGGGCUAAAACAUAUUACCGAAGCUGUGGAUGACACAAAAGUGUCAUGGUAGGAGAGCGUUCUAUGUGUGAAGAAGGUGUACCGUGAGGAGCGCUGGAACGCAUAGAAGUGAGAAUGCCGGUAUGAGUAGCGCAAGACAGGUGAGAAUCCUGUCCACCGUAAGACUAAGGUUUCCAGGGGAAGGCUCGUCCGCCCUGGGUUAGUCGGGACCUAAGGAGAGACCGAAAGGUGUAUCCGAUGGACAACAGGUUGAUAUUCCUGUACUAGAGUAUAUAGUGAUGGAGGGACGCAGUAGGCUAACUAAACCAGACGAUUGGAAGUGUCUGGUCAAACAGUGAGGUGUGAUAUGAGUCAAAUGCUUAUAUCUUUAACAUUGAGCUGUGACGAGGAGCGAAGUUUAGUAGCGAAGUUAGUGAUGUCACACUGCCAAGAAAAGCUUCUAGCGAUACAUAUACUCUACCCGUACCGCAAACCGACACAGGUAGUCGAGGCGAGUAGCCUCAGGUGAGCGAGAGAACUCUCGUUAAGGAACUCGGCAAAAUGGCCCCGUAACUUCGGGAGAAGGGGCGCUGAUUUUAGAUCAGCCGCAGUGAAUAGGCCCAAGCAACUGUUUAUCAAAAACACAGCUCUCUGCUAAAUCGUAAGAUGAUGUAUAGGGGGUGACGCCUGCCCGGUGCUGGAAGGUUAAGAGGAGUGCUUAGCGUAAGCGAAGGUAUGAAUUGAAGCCCCAGUAAACGGCGGCCGUAACUAUAACGGUCCUAAGGUAGCGAAAUUCCUUGUCGGGUAAGUUCCGACCCGCACGAAAGGCGUAAUGAUUUGGGCACUGUCUCAACGAGAGACUCGGUGAAAUUUUAGUACCUGUGAAGAUGCAGGUUACCCGCGACAGGACGGAAAGACCCCAUGGAGCUUUACUGCAGUUUGAUAUUGAGUAUCUGUACCACAUGUACAGGAUAGGUAGGAGCCUAUGAUAACGGGACGCCAGUUUCGUUUGAGGCGUUGUUGGGAU